UACCUUUCAGUGGGGGAUAACGUAGCGAAAGUUACGCUAAUACCGCAUAUUCUGUGAGCAGGAAAGCAGGGGAUCGCAAGACCUUGCGCUGAUUGAGCGGCCGAUAUCAGAUUAGCUAGUUGGUGAGGUAAAGGCUCACCAAGGCGACGAUCUGUAGCGGGUCUGAGAAGAUGAUCCGCCACACUGGAACUGAGACACGGUCCAGACUCCUACGGGAGGCUGCAGUGGGGAAUUUUGGACAAUGGGGGCAACCCUGAUCCAGCCAUGCCGCGUGAGUGAAGAAGGCCUUCGGGUUGUAAAGCUCUUUCGGCCGGGAAGAAAUCGUAUGGGUUAAUACCCUGUGCGGAUGACGGUACCGGCAUAAGAAGCACCGGCUAACUACGUGCCAGCAGCCGCGGUAAUACGUAGGGUGCGAGCGUUAAUCGGAAUUACUGGGCGUAAAGCGUGCGCAGGCGGUUUUGUAAGACAGGCGUGAAAUCCCCGGGCUCAACCUGGGAACUGCGCUUGUGACUGCAAGGCUAGAGUACGGCAGAGGGGGGUGGAAUUCCACGUGUAGCAGUGAAAUGCGUAGAGAUGUGGAGGAACACCAAUGGCGAAGGCAGCCCCCUGGGUCGAUACUGACGCUCAUGCACGAAAGCGUGGGUAGCAAACAGGAUUAGAUACCCUGGUAGUCCACGCCCUAAACGAUGUCAACUAGGUGUUGGGUGGGUAAAACCAUUUAGUACCGGAGCUAACGCGUGAAGUUGACCGCCUGGGGAGUACGGCCGCAAGGUUAAAACUCAAAGGAAUUGACGGGGACCCGCACAAGCGGUGGAUGAUGUGGAUUAAUUCGAUGCAACGCGAAAAACCUUACCUACCCUUGACAUGUCCAGGAGCCUGAAGAGAUUUGGGUGUGCCCGAAAGGGAACUGGAACACAGGUGCUGCAUGGCUGUCGUCAGCUCGUGUCGUGAGAUGUUGGGUUAAGUCCCGCAACGAGCGCAACCCUUGUCGUUAAUUGCCAUCAUUUAGUUGGGCACUUUAACGAGACUGCCGGUGACAAGCCGGAGGAAGGUGGGGAUGACGUCAAGUCCUCAUGGCCCUUAUGGGUAGGGCUUCACACGUCAUACAAUGGUCGGUACAAAGGGUCGCCAACCCGCGAGGGGGAGCCAAUCCCAGAAAGCCGAUCGUAGUCCGGAUCGUGGGCUGCAACUCGCCUGCGUGAAGUCGGAAUCGCUAGUAAUCGUGGAUCAGCAUGUCACGGUGAAUACGUUCCCGGGUCUUGUACACACCGCCCGUCACACCAUGGGAGCGGGUUCCGCCAGAAGUAGGUAGCCUAACCGCAAGGGGGGCGCUUACCACGGCGGG
rnacentral:rRNA from 1 species